AUUUUCGUGAGAUUUGGCGGGGCGCUACCUCUCAAACCUGCAUUGCUGGUUUUGCCAGCGGCAUUAAAUCUAAGC